rnacentral:rRNA from 1 species
UUAUACAGCGAAACUGCGAAUGGCUCAUUAUAUAAGUUAUCGUUUAUUUGAUAGUACCUUACUACUUGGAUAACCGUGGUAAUUCUAGAGCUAAUACAUGCUAAAAAUCCCGACUUCGGAAGGGAUGUAUUUAUUAGAUUAAAAACCAAUGCCCUCUGGGCUCUCUGGUGAUUCAUGAUAACUUCUCGAAUCGCAUGGCCUUGCGCCGGCGAUGGUUCAUUCAAAUUUCUUCCCUAUCAACUUUCGAUGUUUGGGUAGUGGCCAAACAUGGUUGCAACGGGUAACGGAGGGUUAGGGCUCGACCCCGGAGAAGGAGCCUGAGAAACGGCUACUACAUCCAAGGAAGGCAGCAGGCGCGCAAAUUACCCAAUCCCGAUUCGGGGAGGUAGUGACAAUAAAUACUGAUACAGGGCUCUUUUGGGUCUUGUAAUUGGAAUGAGUACAAUUUAAAUCCCUUAACGAGGAACAAUUGGAGGGCAAGUCUGGUGCCAGCAGCCGCGGUAAUUCCAGCUCCAAUAGCGUAUAUUAAAGUUGUUGUGGUUAAAAAGCUCGUAGUUGAACCUUGGGCCUGGUUGGCCGGUCCGCCUCACCGCGUGUACUGGUCCGGCCGGGCCUUUCCCUCUGUGGAACCCCAUGCCCUUCACUGGGUGUGGCGGGGAAACAGGACUUUUACUUUGAAAAAAUUAGAGUGCUCCAGGCAGGCCUAUGCUCGAAUACAUUAGCAUGGAAUAAUAAAAUAGGACGUGCGGUUCUAUUUUGUUGGUUUCUAGGACCGCCGUAAUGAUUAAUAGGGACAGUCGGGGGCAUCAGUAUUCAAUUGUCAGAGGUGAAAUUCUUGGAUUUAUUGAAGACUAACUACUGCGAAAGCAUUUGCCAAGGAUGUUUUCAUUAAUCNGNAACGAAAGUUAGGGGAUCGAA